UUUAAAGUUUUAUUGUGGCUAAAAAAUUCAGUUUUUGGUGGGCUCACAUGCGUGGAUUAAACUAUAGGUUUUGGUUUUGCAGUGAUUAAAUUUAAUGAUUUAGGAAACUAAGAAUUAGAUAUUAAAAAUUAUACAAACAAAUUUUGUGCCAGCAGUUGCGGUUAAACAGGAUGUAUUUCUGAAUUUGGUUCGGGUUAUAGUAAUCUUCAAGUAUUAAGGGGAGAAUUGGUCGUAUAAGGUGAAAUUUUGUGAUUGAUUAAGUUUAUUUUUAAGGGAGAUACUAUUAGAUUUGGGUAUAGACUAGGAUUAGAUACCCUAUUAUUUUAAACGUAAAUUUAUAUUCCUGAGGAGUACUAGUAUAUUCUUGAAAUUUAAAAAAUUUGGCGGUGUUUUAGUCUAUUCAGAGGAACCUGUCCUGUAAUUGAUAAUCCACGAUUAAUUAAACUUUAUCUUUAAGUUUGUAUACCGUCGUUAUUUGAAUAUCUUUAAAGGGUUUAAUGUUCAAGAUUUAAAUUUAUAGUGUAAAUCAGAUCAAGGUACAGUUUAUGGUAAAGGAGAGAUGGGUUACAAUGAAGAUAUUUAUAUGGUUUGAAUGAUGAAAUUUUUCAAUAAAUAGGAUUUGAUAGUAAAAUGAAUAAUAUAAUUUUUUUGAUUUGAGCUCUAGAAUAUGCACAUAUCGCCCGUCGCUCCCACCACAAGGUGGGAUAAGUCGUAACAAAGUAGGUGUACCGGAAGGUGUACCUAGAAAGA
rnacentral:ncRNA from 1 species